rnacentral:misc_RNA from 1 species
GAUGAAGAACGCAGCGAAAUGCGAUAAGUAAUGUGAAUUGCAGAAUUCAGUGAAUCAUCGAAUCUUUGAACGCACAUUGCGCCCGCCAGUAUUCUGGCGGGCAUGCCUGUUCGAGCGUCAUUUCAACCAUCAAGCCCCAGGCUUGUGUUGGAGCCCUGCGGCUGCCGCGGCCUCCCAAAACCAGUGGCGGGCUCGCUAUCACACCGAGUGCAGUAGUUUACUCUUCGCUCAGGGCGUGUGGCGGGUGCUAGCCGUAAAACCCCCAACUUCUCAAGGUUGACCUCGGAUCAGGUAGGAAUACCCGCUGAACUUAAGCAUAUCAAUAAGCGGAGGA